rnacentral:rRNA from 1 species
UGGGGAAUAUUGGACAAUGGGCGAAAGCCUGAUCCAGCCAUGCCGCGUGUGUGAAGAAGGUCUUCGGAUUGUAAAGCACUUUAAGUUGGGAGGAAGGGCAGUAAGCGAAUACCUUGCUGUUUUGACGUUACCGACAGAAUAAGCACCGGCUAACUCUGUGCCAGCAGCCGCGGUAAUACAGAGGGUGCAAGCGUUAAUCGGAAUUACUGGGCGUAAAGCGCGCGUAGGUGGUUCGUUAAGUUGAAUGUGAAAGCCCCGGGCUCAACCUGGGAACUGCAUCCAAAACUGGCGAGCUAGAGUAGGGCAGAGGGUGGUGGAAUUUCCUGUGUAGCGGUGAAAUGCGUAGAGAUAGGGAGGAACACCAGUGGCGAAGGCGACCACCUGGGCUCAUACUGACACUGAGGUGCGAAAGCGUGGGGAGCAAACAGG